rnacentral:sRNA from 1 species
CCGUGUGUGGCAGCAGGGCCAGAAGGGUGUGGCCUAUGACCUGGGCCGUGUGGAGAGGAUCAUGUCGGAGACCUACAUGCUCAUCAAGCAGGUGGAUGAGGAGGCUGCGCUGGAGCAGGCUGUGAAGUUCUGCCAGGUCCAUCUUGGGGCUGCCGCCCAGAGACAGGCCUCGGGGGACACCCCCACCACUCCAAAGCACCCCAAAGACAGCCGAGAGAACUUCUUUCCUGUGGCAGUGGUGCCCACAGCCUCUGACCCUGUGCCAGCUGACUCUGUCCAGCGGCCCAGUGAUGCUCACACCAAGCCUCGCCCUGCACUAACUGCCGCCACAACUAUUAUCACCUGCCCUCCGUCAGCAUCAGCUUCCACUCUGGACCCGUCCAAGGACCCUGGGCCUCCCCGGCCACACAGGCCUGAAGCUACCCCCAGCAUGGCCUCUCUGGGCCCAGGCCCUCCCCUGCUUCUCCCUCCCUGCCUCAGGGACCCAUCCUGUUUCCUUGCCGCAGACCCUGCACUGGCCCACAGCCUGUGUCACCCCUGGAGGCUCACCUGUCUUCCCAGUUGAAUUUCCCACCCAUCUGAAAAACGAGACAGCCACUCUGCAGAAGUGCCCAGCAGAAGGCAGGCCUGAGAGCCCCCACAGACUGUGGGCCUGAGUGGAGGUUGAGUUGAGAAGUCUUUCUCAGCUCUUUCCCACGGUGGCUCAAGCAGCAGGUGCUGAUGUUUUCACCUGAUGCCAUCCACACUGCUUUGAGGAUUGUGAACAU